UUCGCCCUUAGAGUUUGAUCCUGGCUCAGGACGAACGCUGGCGGCGCGCCUAACACAUGCAAGUCGAACGGAGCUUAGAGAGCUUGCUUUUUAAGCUUAGUGGCGAACGGGUGAGUAACGCGUGAGUAACCUGCCCUAGAGUGGGGGACAACAGUUGGAAACGACUGCUAAUACCGCAUAAGCCCACGGUGCCGCAUGACACUGAGGGAAAAGGAUUUAUUCGCUUUAGGAUGGACUCGCGUCCAAUUAGCUAGUUGGUGAGGUAACGGCCCACCAAGGCGACGAUUGGUAGCCGGACUGAGAGGUUGAACGGCCACAUUGGGACUGAGACACGGCCCAGACUCCUACGGGAGGCAGCAGUGGGGGAUAUUGCACAAUGGGGGAAACCCUGAUGCAGCGACGCCGCGUGGAGGAAGAAGGUUUUCGGAUUGUAAACUCCUGUCGUUAGGGACGAUAAUGACGGUACCUAACAAGAAAGCACCGGCUAACUACGUGCCAGCAGCCGCGGUAAAACGUAGGGUGCAAGCGUUGUCCGGAAUUACUGGGUGUAAAGGGAGCGCAGGCGGGAAGACAAGUUGGAAGUGAAAACCAUGGGCUCAACCCAUGAAUUGCUUUCAAAACUGUUUUUCUUGAGUAGUGCAGAGGUAGAUGGAAUUCCCGGUGUAGCGGUGGAAUGCGUAGAUAUCGGGAGGAACACCAGUGGCGAAGGCGGUCUACUGGGCACCAACUGACGCUGAGGCUCGAAAGCAUGGGUAGCAAACAGGAUUAGAUACCCUGGUAGUCCAUGCCGUAAACGAUGAUUACUAGGUGUUGGGGAUUGACCCCCCUCAGUGCCGCAGUUAACACAAUAAGUAAUCCACGUGGGGAGUAUAACCGCAAGGUUGAAACUCAAAGGAAUUGACGGGGGCCCGCACAAGCAGUGGAGUAUGUGGUUUAAUUCGAAGCAACGCGAAGAACCUUACCAGGUCUUGACAUCCGAUGCAUAGCACAGAGAUGUGUGAAAUCCUUCGGGACAUCGAGACAGGUGGUGCAUGGUUGUCGUCAGCUCGUGUCGUGAGAUGUUGGGUUAAGUCCCGCAACGAGCGCAACCCUUAUCUUUAGUAGCCAGCGGUUCGGCCGGGCACUCUAGAGAGACUGCCAGGGAUAACCUGGAGGAAGGCGGGGAUGACGUCAAAUCAUCAUGCCCCUUAUGACUUGGGCUACACACGUGCUACAAUGGCGUAAACAAAGGGAAGCGAAGCUGUGAAGCCGAGCAAAUCCCAAAAAUAACGUCCCAGUUCGGACUGCAGUCUGCAACUCGACUGCACGAAGCUGGAAUCGCUAGUAAUCGCGGAUCAGAAUGCCGCGGUGAAUACGUUCCCGGGUCUUGCACUCAACGCCCGUCA
rnacentral:rRNA from 1 species